rnacentral:sRNA from 2 species
GUAAACACUCGUUAGGUGAGGCUCCUAUAUGAAGACAUGCUGCUGCCCAGAAACGUCCAAAGACGCCAAUGGGUCAACAGAAAUCAUCGAGUUAAGGUGAUUUUUAAUGUAGCUGGAAAAAAUCCUAUGUCAUAUAGUGCUAAAACUCUACGAAGGGGGUUUAU